rnacentral:rRNA from 1 species
CCUACGGGAGGCAGCAGUGAGGAAUAUUGGUCAAUGGGCGCGAGCCUGAACCAGCCAAGUAGCGUGAAGGAUGACUGCCCUACGGGUUGUAAACUUCUUUUAUAAGGGAAUAAAGUGAGGCACGUGUGCCUUUUUGUAUGUACUUUAUGAAUAAGGAUCGGCUAACUCCGUGCCAGCAGCCGCGGUAAUACGGAGGAUCCGAGCGUUAUCCGGAUUUAUUGGGUUUAAAGGGAGCGUAGAUGGGUUGUUAAGUCAGUUGUGAAAGUUUGGGGCUCAACCGUAAAAUUGCAUUUGAUACUGGCAGCCUUGAGUGCAGUUGAGGUAGGCGGAAUUCGUGGUGUAGCGGUGAAAUGCGUAGAUAUCACGAAGAACACCGAUUGCGAAGGCAGCCUACUAGACCGCCACUGACGUUGAUGCACGAAAGUGUGGGGAUCAAACAGGAUUAGAUACCCGAGUAGUC